rnacentral:rRNA from 1 species
AUUGAACGCUGGCGGCAGGCUUAACACAUGCAAGUCGAGCGGAGAUGAGGUGCUUGCACCUUAUCUUAGCGGCGGACGGGUGAGUAAUGCUUAGGAAUCUGCCUAUUAGUGGGGGACAACAUUCCGAAAGGAAUGCUAAUACCGCAUACGUCCUACGGGAGAAAGCAGGGGAUCUUCGGACCUUGCGCUAAUAGAUGAGCCUAAGGCGGAUUAGCUAGUUGGUGGGGUAACAGCCUACCAAGGCGACGAUCUGUAGCGGGUCUGAGAGGAUGAUCCUCCACACUGGGACUGAGACACGGCCCAGACUCCUACGGGAGGCAGCAGUGGGGAAUAUUGGACAAUGGGGGGAACCCUGAUCCAGCCAUGCCGCGUGUGUGAAGAAGGCCUUAUGGUUGUAAAGCACUUUAAGCGAGGAGGAGGCUACUGAGACUAAUACUCUUGGAUAGUGGACGUUACUCGCAGAAUAAGCACCGGCUAACUCUGUGCCAGCCGCCGCCGUAAGAC